GAUGAACGCUGGCGGCGUGCCUAAUACAUGCAAGUCGAGCGAACGGACGAGAAGCUUGCUUCUCUGAUGUUAGCGGCGGACGGGUGAGUAACACGUGGAUAACCUACCUAUAAGACUGGGAUAACUUCGGGAAACCGUAGCUAAUACCGGAUAAUAUUUUGAACCGCAUGGUUCAAAAGUGAAAGACGGUCUUGCUGUCACUUAUAGAAGGAUCCGCGCUGCAUUAGCUAGUUGGUAAGGUAACGGCUUACCAAGGCAACGAUGCAUAGCCGACCUGAGAGGGUGAUCGGCCACACUGGAACUGAGACACGGUCCAGACUCCUACGGGAGGCAGCAGUAGGGAAUCUUCCGCAAUGGGCGAAAGCCUGACGGAGCAACGCCGCGUGAGUGAUGAAGGUCUUCGGAUCGUAAAACUCUGUUAUUAGGGAAGAACAUAUGUGUAAGUAACUGUGCACAUCUUGACGGUACCUAAUCAGAAAGCCACGGCUAACUACGUG
rnacentral:rRNA from 1 species